UACAGAGGUCCCAAGCGUUGUUCGGAUUCAUUGGGCGUAAAGGGUGCGUAGGUGGCGCCGUAAGUCAGGUGUGAAAUUUCGGAGCUUAACUCCGAAACUGCAUUUGAUACUGCGGUGCUUGAGGACUGGAGAGGAGACUGGAAUUUACGGUGUAGCAGUGAAAUGCGUAGAUAUCGUAAGGAAGACCAGUGGCGAAGGCGGGUCUCUGGACAGUUCCUGACACUGAGGCACGAAGGCCAGGGGAGCAAACGGG
rnacentral:rRNA from 1 species